AUCUGAACUUGGCUUUAUUUCCACUGCUCUGUAGGUGAUGCUUGUCUCUAUGAAUCAAUCAAAGGCUCUGAAGACACUGAAUAUGAUAAUGUCCAGGAUGUUGCCUUCAAUUGAACAUAAAAACAUUUAAAAAAACGGAAAGCAACAUGAACCAGAGGAGAGCUCUGUUUACUCUAAUGUGAAGAUAGGAACUGCUGUCAUGCUCAGAGUUUGUAUUGAAAUUAUCACACAGGAGGUCAUUAUGGGUCAGCAUGCAGUUUAAUUAAUGUCAGUCACUAGCUACUACCACUAGAUGUCAAAAAAGGUUUAAUUUCAGAAAAGUUACACAUAUAUAUGGCCUUUCAGACUUUUGACUAUUUUCCGUCUCACAGAUAUGACGUAAAGCUAGAUUGUUUUUUUCUUUUUUUUGAAGUAUAUUGUACGACUGUGUAUUGUACUUAUUUUAACAUGCUACUUUACAGUUGUGAAAAAACACAAGAGCAUUCCGCUUUUUAAAAAAUAUUAUUAAUUUUUAUUUUUUAUUUUUUUUAUUGUUGUAUUAUGAUUUAC